CCUGGUGGAGCAAACAGUUAAUGCAUUUUGCUGUUAACUGAAAUGUUGGUGGUUCGAGUCUACUCAGCAGCA
rnacentral:tRNA from 1 species